rnacentral:rRNA from 1 species
GCAAGUCGAGCGAGUGAAUUUCCUUCGGGAGUGAAGCUAGCGGCGGACGGGUGAGUAACACGUGGGCAACCUGCCUCUUAGUGGGGAAUAGCCUUUCGAAAGGAAGAUUAAUACCGCAUAAGAUUGUAGCUUCGCAUGAAGUAGCAAUUAAAGGAGCAAUCCGCUAUGAGAUGAGCCCGCGGCGCAUUAGCUAGUUGGUGAGGUAACGGCUCACCAAGGCGACGAUGCGUAGCCGACCUGAGAGGGUGAUC